rnacentral:rRNA from 1 species
UACGAAGGGGGCGAGCGUUGUUCGGAUUUACUGGGCGUAAAGGGCGCGCAGGCGGCUUUGUUUGUCAGGCGUGAAAGCCCCGGGCUUAACCUAGGAACUGCGUUUGAUACGGCAGGGCUAGAGUUCGGGAGAGGAGAGUGGAAUUCCCAGUGUAGAGGUGAAAUUCGUAGAUAUUGGGAAGAACACCGGUGGCGAAGGCGGCUCUCUGGACCGAUACUGACGCUGAGGCGCGAAAGCGUGGGGAGCAAACAGG